AUGGCCGGGAACAUGCUAGCCAACUAUGUCCAAGUCUACGUCAUGCUCCCGCUGGACGUCGUGAGCGUCGACAACAAAUUCGAGAAGGGCGACGAGAUCAGGGCGCAGCUGAAGAAGCUGACGGAGGCCGGCGUGGACGGCGUCAUGAUAGACGUCUGGUGGGGGCUGGUGGAGGGCAAGGGCCCCAAGGCGUACGACUGGAGCGCCUACAAGCAGGUCUUCGACCUGGUGCACGAGGCCGGGCUCAAGCUGCAGGCCAUCAUGUCAUUCCACCAGUGCGGUGGCAACGUCGGCGACGUCGUCAACAUCCCCAUCCCACAGUGGGUUCGCGACGUCGGCGCCACCGACCCCGACAUUUUCUACACCAACCGCGGCGGGACGAGGAACAUCGAGUACCUCACCCUUGGAGUGGACGACCAGCCUCUCUUCCAUGGAAGAACUGCCGUCCAGAUGUAUGCUGAUUACAUGGCGAGCUUCAGGGAAAACAUGAAGAAGUUCUUGGAUGCCGGUACCAUCGUGGACAUUGAAGUGGGACUUGGCCCAGCUGGAGAGAUGAGGUACCCAUCGUAUCCUCAGAGCCAAGGAUGGGUCUUCCCAGGCAUCGGAGAAUUCAUCUGUUAUGAUAAGUACCUGGAAGCAGACUUCAAAGCAGCAGCGGCGAAGGCUGGCCACCCUGAGUGGGAAUUGCCUGACGAUGCUGGAGAGUACAACGACACUCCCGAGAAAACCCAAUUCUUCAAGGACAACGGAACAUACCUCACAGAGAAGGGGAAGUUUUUCCUGUCAUGGUACUCCAACAAACUGAUCAAGCACGGUGACAAGAUCUUGGACGAAGCAAACAAGGUCUUCUUGGGAUGCAGGGUGCAGCUGGCAAUCAAAAUCUCUGGCAUUCACUGGUGGUACAGGGUUCCAAACCAUGCAGCCGAGCUCACAGCUGGGUACUACAACUUAGAUGACAGAGACGGCUACAGAACCAUAGCACGCAUGCUCACAAGGCAUCAUGCUAGCAUGAACUUCACUUGUGCAGAGAUGAGGGACUCCGAGCAAAGCGAAGAGGCGAAGAGCGCACCAGAAGAACUAGUCCAACAGGUGCUGAGUGCUGGAUGGAGAGAGGGUUUACAUGUGGCGUGCGAAAACGCACUCGGUCGAUAUGAUGCCACUGCUUACAACACAAUACUCAGGAAUGCGAGGCCGAAAGGCAUCAACAAGAAUGGCCCUCCUGAGCACAAACUGUUUGGAUUCACCUACCUCCGGUUAUCGAAUGAGCUACUGGAGGGACAGAACUAUGCCACUUUCCAAACUUUUGUUGAGAAAAUGCAUGCUAACCUGGGUCAUGACCCAAGUGUUGAUCCAGUGGCGCCUUUGGAAAGAUCAAAGCCAGAAAUGCCAAUUGAAAUGAUCCUGAAAGCAGCGCAGCCAAAACUGGAGCCAUUCCCCUUUGAUAAGAAUACCGACCUGCCAGUUAAAGAUCACACUGAUGUCGGGGAUGAGUCUACAAGAGGGUCAAGACGUGCUUUCUGA
rnacentral:rRNA from 1 species